GUAAGGAAUAUUGGACAAUGGACGCAAGUCUGAUCCAGCCAUGUCGCGUGAAGGAUUAAGGUCCUCUGGAUUGUAAACUUCUUUUAUAAGGGACGAAAAAAGGCUUUUCUAAGUCGUCUGACGGUACCUUAUGAAUAAGCACCGGCUAACUCCGUGCCAGCAGCCGCGGUAAUACGGAGGGUGCAAGCGUUAUCCGGAUUCACUGGGUUAAAAGGGUGCGUAGGCGGGCAGGUAAGUCAGUGGUGAAAUCCUAGAGCUUAACUCUAGAACUGCCAGUGAUACUAUCUGUCUUGAAUAUUGUGGAGGUAAGCGGAAUAUGUCAUGUAGCGGUGAAAUGCUUAGAUAUGACAUAGAACACCUAUUGCGAAGGCAGCUUACUACGCAUAUAUUGACGCUGAGGCACGAAAGCGUGGGGAUCAAACAGGAUUAGAUACCCUAGUAGUCC
rnacentral:rRNA from 1 species